AAAACUUAUCCUCUCCUUUUUUUUUUUUUUUUGCGUUCUGUCUCUCUCCCCUCCUUAAUUGAGUCAAUUCCAUCCAAUUCUCAUCGACCUCAGUACCUCACUACUCAGCUGCUCACUCUCAGGCCGUGGCUGUCUAGCAAUUUUCUGGGAUUCUGGGAAUUGAGAAAAUUGGAGGAGGAGCUGUGAGCAAACUUAGAGUCUCAUCUCAGUCAUCUGAGUCUUUGAUCUUCAAGGAAUCAGUUUUCGCACAGGGCCUCCGAAAAUUUUGAGACAACCCUGCCCUCCAGCAUUCACCUUGUCAUACGAGCUUCUCUUGUCAUGGAUUCAAACCACUUAUUACUCAACGGGAAAACCUUCUGACAAAGGAGACUUCUAGAUAUUUAACAGGCUGGCUUGUACGAUGGCUUCAAUUUUGGGGCAUUAUGGUACAAGUGGCAAUGUGAGAUGCAAGCAGGGUUCUGAUCGGCGAGAGGCAAAGGAGGGAUCGGUCCCAUAGUGGGCUGCUGUUUUAGUCGAAGCAAGCGCUACUGAUGCAUACACCCUGUCACUGUUGGGAGGCUCCAUUUAUUUAGGUGCCCAAAAUUGGGGUUGGGUCUGCCAACAUUGAUCCAAGGCGGCACUAGGCUAUGUUGAUCUUGGUUGAUUGGGAUUUGGCUAACAAUGAGACUCUGGGGCUAAGGCGGGCUUCUGCUUUGGUGGCUGCAUUGGUUUUGGCCAAUCGGGUUUUGGCUGAAAGAGGUGCUUCAGGGCGAUGGCGGGUUUCAGACUUGGUGGCUGGGUUGGACAUGGACAAUGACCGACGACGGUUGGGUGCCCUGCAUUGGGUGUCCAGAUCAAUGUGGUAUACCCAGGUUUUGGGUUGUUGUUGGUCCCAUUUCACCCAUUUGUUGGCCCAACUCUUUCCAUGGGUUUGGAUUUGGGAUCCAGGAGAUUUUCUGCUUGGUUUUUUGCUUAAUUGUGCUAGUGUUAUUCUUCUAGGUGUGCUGCAUUUACUUUCAGGUGGAUUGAUCUAUAUUUCUACAUUCUAUAAAUUUUUUUAGUAUAAUCACACUAUGAGUAC